rnacentral:rRNA from 1 species
AUGCCGCGUGAGUGAUGAAGGCCCUAGGGUUGUAAAGCUCUUUCAACGGUGAAGAUAAUGACGGUAACCGUAGAAGAAGCCCCGGCUAACUUCGUGCCAGCAGCCGCGGUAAUACGAAGGGGGCUAGCGUUGUUCGAAAUUACUGGGCGUAAAGCGCACGUAGGCGGAUACUUAAGUCAGGGGUGAAAUCCCGGGGCUCAACCCCGGAACUGCCUUUGAUACUGGGUAUCUGGAGUCCGGAAGAGGUGAGUGGAAUUCCGAGUCUAGAGGUGAAAUUCGUAGAUAUUCGGAGGAACACCAGUGGCGAAGGCGGCUCACUGGUCCGGUACUGACGCUGAGGUGCGAAAGCUCGG